rnacentral:rRNA from 1 species
AUGGAAAGACCUACCGGAGUUAUCAAUGAGAAUCUUAAUAAUUUUGAUGAAGAUGAUUCCGGAAUAUUUCGUUAUUUACUCGAUGAAUCUUUGAAAGAUGCUUGGGAUAGACUAUUAAGGAUCCGGGCCAGCUAUGUCCCCCAAUACCAAAUUGAAAUUUACUUAAAGACCUUUUAUGUUGCCCUACCUUCUUCGUUUAAGCAUGUCUUAGAUUCUAUAUUUGAAGAAGGUUUUCUUGAAGGGGAUGCCAUAGAUACUUAUGAAAAGAUGAAAACCAUAUUUGGGCACCCCAUGAAUGAGAAGGUUGAAUCUACAUCUCUUUUGCUCUCCUACCAAAACGAAUCUACCAAAGAGAUGAAAGCUAGCUUAGAUGCAAAUUUCCGUAAAAUGCUUAAUCUUUCUUAUACCAUUAAGAGCCAUGUGCUUUAUCAAAAUAGAUAG